rnacentral:rRNA from 1 species
GGGGCUUCGGCCCUGAGUAAAGCGGCGCACGGGUGAGUAACACGUGGGUAAUCUGCCCUAGAGUGGGGAAUAACACCGGGAAACCGGUGCUAAUACCGCAUACGAUCACGAUGUCUUCGGAUGUUGUGAUGAAAGGAGCAAUUCGCUCUUGGAGGAGCCCGCGGCUGAUUAGCUAGUUGGUGAGGUAAUGGCUCACCAAGGCUACGAUCAGUAUCCGGUCUGAGAGGACGGUCGGACACACUGGAACUGAGACACGGUCCAGACUCCUACGGGAGGCAGCAGUGGGGAAUUUUUCGCAAUGGGGGCAACCCUGACGAAGCAACGCCGCGUGGAUGAUGAAGUCUCUUGGGACGUAAAAUCCUUUCGACGGGGACGAAACCGCAAGGUUGACGGUACCCGUAGAAGAAGCCCCGGCUAACUCCGUGCCAGCAGCCGCGGUAAUACGGGGGGGGCGAGCGUUGUUCGGAAUUACUGGGCGUAAGGGGCGCGUAGGCGGUCCGCUAAGUUGAAUGUGAAAACUCUGGGCUUAACUCAGAGCCUGCAUUCAAUACUGGCGGGCUAGAGUUCUGGAGGGGAUAGCGGAAUUCCUGGUGUAGCGGUGAAAUGCGUAGAUAUCAGGAGGAACACCGGUGGCGAAGGCGGCUAUCUGGACAGAGUCUGACGCUGAGGCGCGAAAGCUAGGGGAGCAAACAGGAUUAGAUACCCUGGUAGUCCUAGCCCUAAACGAUGGAUACUUGCUGUGACUGGGAUUGAAUCCAGUCGUGGCGAAGCUAACGCAUUAAGUAUCCCGCCUGGGGAGUACGGUCGCAAGGCUG